UACGUAGGGUGCAGGCGUUAAUCGGAAUUACUGGGCGUAAAGCGUGCGCAGGCGGCUCCUUAAGUCAGAUGUGAAAUCCCCGGGCUUAACCUGGGAACUGCGUUUGAAACUGAGGGGCUAGAGUGUGGAAGAGGGGGGUGGAAUUCCAGGUGUAGCAGUGAAAUGCGUAGAGAUCUGGAGGAACACCGAUGGCGAAGGCAGCCCCCUGGGCUAACACUGACGCUCAUGCACGAAAGCGUGGGGGGCAAACAGG
rnacentral:rRNA from 1 species